AGGAGGAAUCUCCUUCUGAAGAUUGCUCCUUGGGGAGUUUCCUAUGAGCCUAUGACACUGGCUGCCCAGGGCAGUGGUCAUGGCAUCAACACGGCAGUGUUCAAGAAGUGUCUGGACACCACUCUUGGACAUACAUUCUAAUUUUUGGUGGUGCUGUGCGGAGCCAGAAAUUGGACUCCAUGAUCCUAUGCAUCCCUUACAACUCAGAAUAUUCUAUGAUUCUAUGACUCCCCACAAGUGCUCACCCACUUCAUACCAAAGAAGAUAAAUGUGGAAGAAUAAGCACCCACCAGGAAGAGGAAGAAGAUUUAAUUCAUGAAAAAGGUAUUGGAACGUCUUUGAAAAACUUGCCCUAGCUUUGCAGAACAUAAAAACCCAGAAGAAAAAAAAAAAAAAAAAGACAGUGCUUAAAUCUGGAAUGCUUGUGGCUGAGAGAAGCUUUUUCUAGGACACAGUCAUAUGCCUCCUAAUGCUCGUUCAGAAAAGGUGAGGGGGACAUUGGGACAACUGCAUCAAGAGGAGCACAUGGAGAUAUCAGGCUUAAUGACACCUUCAGCUAAAAACAGUGAGUGGGUUUGACAGCCAUAAAAUGGCUUUGGCUGGAAGGGACCUUGAAAAUCAUUAAGCUCCAACCCCCUGCCGUGGGCAGGGUCACCACCCACCAACUUGGGCUGCCCAGGGCUCCAUCCAGCUUGGCCUCCAGCUCUGCCCUGGAUGUCUUCAGGUGUUCACAAUUACUGAGUCAAACUGCUGCUGAGCAGCAUCAGCAUCACACUGAAACUCCUAACAUCAGGCAACCGUCUAACAGCUGAUUCUAGCAUCAGCUGCUGGCUGGACAUGCAGGGUAGACAGGGUAAGGGGAAAUCCAGGAUCCAAGUGACAUAUGGUCCAACAAGCUAUUAAGUUAUGUCAGCAUUAUGUAUAAACCUCAUCUUAAAAACUAAAAAAAUAAAAUAUAAAUUAAAAAUUACA
rnacentral:lncRNA from 1 species